rnacentral:rRNA from 1 species
GUAAGGAAUAUUGGACAAUGGACGCAAGUCUGAUCCAGCCAUGCCGCGUGAAGGAUUAAGGUCCUCUGGAUUGUAAACUUCUUUUAUAAGGGACGAAAAAAGGCUUUUCUAAGUCGUCUGACGGUACCUUAUGAAUAAGCACCGGCUAACUCCGUGCCAGCAGCCGCAGUAAUACGGAGGGUGCAAGCGUUAUCCGGAUUCACUGGGUUUAAAGGGUGCGUAGGCGGGCAGGUAAGUCAGUGGUGAAAUCCUAGAGCUUAACUCUAGAACUGCCAUUGAUACUAUCUGUCUUGAAUAUUGUGGAGGUAAGCGGAAUAUGUCAUGUAGCGGUGAAAUGCUUAGAUAUGACAUAGAACACCUAUUGCGAAGGCAGCUUACUACGCAUAUAUUGACGCUGAGGCACGAAAGCGUGGGGAUCAAACAGGAUUAGAAACCCCGGUAGUCC